UAAAUAAUAUUUUCACUGUAGCGUCUAGUCGUCGAGCGGCGUCUUCAGAGCGUCUACCCCGCGUCAGACGAUUUAGUGAUGAUGGUGGGGCAACAAGUAGUUGAGAGAUGGAGUCUGUCUCUUAGCUGGCAGCAGGAACCAGCAAAGACUACGCGCCACCUUUCGAGUGGUAUUGAAAGAAAAAUCAUUCGCGAUACGACGCUCUAUCGAACCAUCAUCACUGACGUAAAAUCGUCAUGUCACACACGCCGGUUACAGUAACUAUAACUAUAUGUACUUUCUUUCUUUCUUCUCUCUCUCUCUCUCUCUCUCUCUCUCUCUCUCCUGCCCUUUCUCUUUUAUUUCCUCUCUUUCUGACAAAGCGUAAGUCUAAUUUAAUCUAAUAAUUAAACGAAUGAUACUACUAAUACAAUUGUAGUAUUUUAUAAUCUUAUGAUGUAUAAAAUUUUUAUAUGCUCAUGUGUAGUUUGUAGCAAAUAACUAAAUGUGAAUUGUAGAGUUUCUCACAAUCACCAACUACUUUUACACCAAGAGAAAGCUGACGUCUUAAGCUCAUGGCUUAUGCUCAAUUCAAUCCAUCGAGUUACUACGUUAUACAUACUAUGUACAAGAAUAAAUGUGCUUGGAGGGGACAAGGACCGGAAUCGUGUAUUCUUAACUCCCUCUUCUUAUCCUGGUUAUAUAGAGGCAUAAGAAGUAACAGCAACCAGCAUCAGCCCCAGUACCAGAAAGAGGAAGGAACAGCUAAAAUCCCCCGUACCGUUUUAUUUCUAUAAGAGAAAUCUCGAGUAGGGAUAAUGGCGGCAAUCUACCUGAAGGAUUUUUAUGUCAGGAAUUAUAUACAUAGAGGGGCCCUGGUUCCGUGGGAUGUCGGUUUUACCGAGGCUCCUGCCCGAGGGACGAGAACCACCUGUCGGGAAAUCGUUGGAAAUCUCACCCAAGCCACUCUCUUUCUCUUAACUUCUCUUGGUAUACCCGCUGACACUACAUUCUUUAUUAUUUUUUUUUCCUCUCCUUUAUUUUGCUUUGCUUGUACACCAUACACAUAUAGUUUUAUUUUUUUAUUUCAUUUUAAACUAUAUUAAUUACUCUAUUUAUGGUUACGUGCUUUGAAUUAAUGUAGAAUAUUCUUUUAUUUUUUUUUAUCUAACAUAAAAUAAUCAAUUAUCAAUUGUACGCAGCGUACAGAUGAAUAAUCGGUUAUUACUAUGAAAAAAGACGUGGCAACAUCACGCGGUUAUGUCGAAGCUAAAACUUACUACACAAGAGUACGUUUCAUACCAGUCAUGGACAACAAACUACACAAACUUGGCGUGCAAAACUAGUGGCGCUAAACAGUGCCGUAUCAAUUGUCAAUUAAAUAAUUCAUAACUUCAUUACUUGCUUAAUUUUUACACAUGUCGAAAAAAACCGGUAAAUAAGUUUU